rnacentral:snoRNA from 1 species
UCCUCCUACAAAGGCAUGUCUGUGGUUCCCUGUCCUUGGACACGUAAGAAUUGGAGGCAAAGAAAUGUGGAUUUGGAGAAGUUUAGGGCCAGCUUGAUCCUCACAGGUUCCAGUGCCCCCAUCCCACACUG